rnacentral:lncRNA from 1 species
GGGCGGGAGUGCCGGCAGGGCCAGGGGGCAGAGGCCAGGCCACCCGGUCAGCUCUAAGCGUUCUCCAAGGGAGCCAACAGAACUUCAGAAGUCUCCCUGGGCCAAGGCUGCGGGGACUGGAGCAGGCUGGCUCUGGGGACGGAUGCUGCUAUAUUUCUGCCUUGCCUGAGAGGGGAAGCAGAAAAUCGCGUUACAGUUUCAUGAGGAGCCAGCUGGAGUCCUCUGCUGGCAAAGUGUCUUGGCAAGCAAGAUCCCAGCAGUCAAGCAUGCCACAAAGCGAAGACAACUUUCUUGUCCAGAAGAAAAGCAUCCCAGAGGAAAAGCAUCGCUGAGGAAAAGAUUUUGAACCAGCCCAGAGGAAAAGCAUCAAGAAAAGCUGCUAGAGAGAAGAAACAACAUCAACAAAAAAGUUGAAAUGGACAGCUAAGACAUUGAACUUUGCAAAUGGGUUUAUACAAGAAGAGGACAGAUGGAAAACGAUAUUUAUAUGUAAGACUGAGUGUGUCAAAAACAUAAAACAAAAUUAAUUUCACAUAUUAGGGAAAUAGCAUGCAUCACUGCAUAACUUGGAAGAAAGAAGAGAUCCAUCAGUCAACAUGAGAAGUGGAAAUCUGAAGAAACUUGAUAAGUAUUAAUUCAACACAACACUAUUAGACACAAAACACAAAAUCACAAACUGACAUAUUGGGAGACCUUGUUUAAAUAAGCAAGUGUCUG